rnacentral:lncRNA from 1 species
UUUUUUUUUUUUUUUUUUUUGACCAGGGGUGCUGGAGUAUAAGGGGAAGAUUUUGAGGUUGUUUGCAAAGGAAAUAUGUAGCAUUUGGGCUAUUAAUAAGCUUCAGUGGAAUUCAUCUUUGGCCUGCCGGGAUAAGAAAGGAGUCUUCAGUCCUUAUAUCUAUAAUGCUUUCUUCAUUGUUUGUUUCUUUGUUUGUUUUAUUGUUGUAUUUGUCCCAAGGACAAACUUAAUGAAUUCUUUUGUCUAUUUCCAUGCUGUGACCAGCAUGUAAAACAUAUAUGAUACUGCAGGAUUAAGUUUGCCUUAAUGCAUUGCUAUAAAACUUGUCUCCUUUAUGAUGGAAGACACAAGUCACAUGCAUGUAGCAAGAUGUUUAAUGGAUUCACCAGGCGCUUAUGAGCUGUACACUUCCUAUUUCAAUAGUUUCUGAGUCUUCGUACUAAAGGUUUCCUUUUUUUCAUCAUGCAAAACUAAAAGCAGUUAUGGUCAUUUUAUUAAUGAAUAAUCAAUAGUGAUGUCCUCUAUGAAGUCACCUGAAUGAUUUUAAUUUCAAUCACGCCUUUUGCUUUUCCUUUCCCUCUUCCUGGCUUUGUAUCAGUGGCUUUGAAUAAAGGUACUUAGGGCUCAUUCUGCAUUUCAGAUUUGCAAAAUUAGUUCCUGUUGAGUCCUAAUGGCUAAGAAAGUACCAGUUUGCUCUGAGUCAUUGGAGGAAAUCAUAAAAGGGAAAAAGCUAUUUAUCAUAUUCCUCAUAUGCAAGAUGGUAACUGUAGGGAUUAAAAUCCAAGAUCUGUAUGUAUAAAGUCAUUUUAGUACAUAUAUUUCUUUUCUGGAGAAGAAAAUAUAAAUAUUUCUAAGCAGAUCAUUCAAAGUAGUUGUAACACUAAACCCAUCUAAUCUUUAUUUUCUUUACCUCAUAAUUUGUUUUGAGUUCAGCUUAUUUGAAAUACGGGUACUGGAAUAUUCAGCUGAGUUGUGGUAAAACACUGUGUCCAAAAGCGACAUGAAGAAGGGUUAAUUUCUUCUCUGUAGUAGCUUGUGGUCUGUGGUCCAGGGAAGGCCAGCCAGAUCUAGAGGCAGGAACAGAAACAGAAGCCAGUGAGGGAUUCUGCCUACUGGAUUGUUUCCUGUGGCUCGUUCAACCUACUUUCUUAUACUAUCCAGGACCAAGGUCAAUCAUUGAUAAAGAAAAUGCCCCCUUAGGUCUGGUUUAACCACAAACAAUCUAAUGGGGGAAUUUCCUCAGCCAGUCAUCUCUCUUCUCAAUUGACUCUAGCUGUGUCAAGUUGAUAAAACAAAAAGAAAAAUGACCUCUUGUCAACGUGGCAAACACAUUGCUGCCAAGCUAUGUAAGCUUUUAUUUUGUUCAUCCCAAGAUUUCACAAUAAUAUUAAGUUACUAUCACAAUAUAAAACUUCCCAACCGCUAAAGGUCUCAGUCUUCAAAGGUUCAGGGUGUUUAAAUUAUCCAGUCACUCUCAAACACCCAAAGGCUUUGGAAGCCUCCAAAGUCUCCCCAAAAUUCCAAAGUCUCUUAACUGUGAGCGCCC